GUAUGGACGGGCUGUUCAGGUGCUUAAAAACCACCUGGAGAAAGGGCCGGGCAAGACCGGUGCCAGCCGCCGCGGUAAUACCGGCGGCUCGAGUGGUGGCCACUAUUACUGGGCUUAAAGCGUCCGUAGCUUGGUCGUUAAGCCUCUGGGGAAAUCUUCCGGCUCAACCGGAAGGCGUCUCAGGGGAACUGGCGACCUAGGGAUCGGGAGAGGUGAGAGGUACUCUGGGGGUAGGAGUGAAAUCCUGUAAUCCUCAGGGGACCACCUGUGGCGAAGGCGUCUCACCAGAACGACUCCGACAGUGAGGGACGAAAGCUGGGGGAGCAAACCGGAUUAGAUACCCGGGUAGUCCCAGCCGUAAACGAUGCGCGUUAGGUGUAUCGGUGACCACGAGUUACCGAGGUGCCGAAGGGAAACCGUGAAACGCGCCGCCUGGGAAGUACGGUCGCAAGGCUGAAACUUAAAGGAAUUGGCGGGGGAGCAC
rnacentral:rRNA from 1 species